rnacentral:rRNA from 1 species
CUCAGAACGAACGCUGGCGGCAGGCCUAACACAUGCAAGUCGAGCGAAGCCUUCGGGCUUAGCGGCGGACGGGUGAGUAACGCGUGGGAACGUGCCCUUCACUACGGAAUAGUCCCGGGAAACUGGGUUUAAUACCGUAUACGCCCUUCGGGGGAAAGAAUUUCGGUGAAGGAUCGGCCCGCGUUAGAUUAGGUAGUUGGUGGGGUAAUGGCCUACCAAGCCUACGAUCUAUAGCUGGUUUGAGAGGAUGAUCAGCCACACUGGGACUGAGACACGGCCCAGACUCCUACGGGAGGCAGCAGUGGGGAAUCUUAGACAAUGGGGGCAACCCUGAUCUAGCCAUGCCGCGUGAGUGAUGAAGGCCUUAGGGUCGUAAAGCUCUUUCGCUGGGGAAGAUAAUGACGGUACCCAGUAAAGAAACCCCGGCUAACUCCGUGCCAGCAGCCGCGGUAAUACGGAGGGGGUUAGCGUUGUUCGGAAUUACUGGGCGUAAAGCGCGCGUAGGCGGACUGGAAAGUUGGGGGUGAAAUCCCGGGGCUCAACCUCGGAACUGCCUCCAAAACUAUCAGUCUAGAGUUCGAGAGAGGUGAGUGGAACUCCGAGUGUAGAGGUGAAAUUCGUAGAUAUUCGGAAGAACACCAGUGGCGAAGGCGGCUCACUGGCUCGAUACUGACGCU